rnacentral:tRNA from 1 species
GGCAGCUUAGCUUAAAGGUAAAGCACUCGACGUGUAAUCACAGGGAUGUGAGUUCGAGUCUCAUGGCUGGCC